GUGUACUCAUGGAGACAGCCUGUGGGGCUCUGCCAGCGUCUCAGAAGGGCCUCAAGGGCAUUCCAGGGAACCGGUGCAGCUCGGGAGAAGUCUUGGAGCCGGGAGAGGUUCGGAUUAUGGUGGAAAUCAGACUGCAUUUGCCCUGCCCCGUAUAAAUAG